AUAUCGAACCUGUUGCAACAUGUUUGAGUUUCACCAAGUGUUGCACUACCUUCGAUAUUA
rnacentral:pre_miRNA from 2 species